AACGAACGCUGGCGGCGUGGCUAAGGCAUGCAAGUCGAACGGAUUUACUCAACGGGUAACUGGAGGGUAGGUCAGUGGCGAACGGGUGAGGAAUUCAUGGAUAACGUGCCCCGGACUCAGGGAUAGCGUUGUGAAAACGAACGGUAGUACCUGAUGACCCCGUACGGACGCAUGGUCUCGCGGGCGAAAGACUCCGACGGUCCGGGGAGCGAUUCAUGUCCUAUCAGCUAGUUGGUGAGGAACGG
rnacentral:rRNA from 1 species